rnacentral:rRNA from 1 species
UAGGGAAUCUUCGGCAAUGUACGAAAGUCUGACCGAGCAACGCCGCGUGAGUGAAGAAGGUUUUCGGAUCGUAAAACUCUGUUGUUAGAGAAGAACAAGGACGUUAGUAACUGAACGUCCCCUGACGGUAUCUAACCAGAAAGCCACGGCUAACUACGUGCCAGCAGCCGCGGUAAUACGUAGGUGGCAAGCGUUGUUCGGAUUUAUUGGGCGUAAAGCGAGCGCAGGCGGUUUCUUAAGUCUGAUGUGAAAGCCCCCGGCUCAACCGGGGAGGGUCAUUGGAAACUGGGAGACUUGAGUGCAGAAGAGGGGAGUGGAAUUCCAUGUGUAGCGGUGAAAUGCGAAGAUAUAUGGAGGAACACCAGUGGCGAAGGCGGCUCUCUGGUCUGUAACUGACGCUGAGGCUCGAAAGCGUGGGGAGCAAACAGG